rnacentral:rRNA from 1 species
UACGUAGGGGGCAAGCGUUAUCCGGAUUUACUGGGUGUAAAGGGAGCGCAGACGGCUUUACAAGUCAGAAGUGAAAGCCCCGGGCUUAACCCGGGGACUGCUUUUGAAACUGCAGAGCUUGAGUACUGGAGGGGCAGGCGGAAUUCCUGGUGUAGCGGUGAAAUGCGUAGAUAUCAGGAGGAACGCCGGUGGCGAAGGCGGCCUGCUGGACAGAGACUGACGUUGAGGCUCGAAAGCGUGGGGAG